CAUUGAUCAUUAUGAACAAUUGUUUCGAAUUUUAGAGUUUUGUAACUUAUGUGGUAACAAUUGGAUGAUGACGUCACAGUUGUAAUAUGAAUGGAUACGUCUUAAUUGCUUUUAUUUUUGUGAUAAUUACCACUGAUAUUGCGCCGUUCGCUGCAACCGACAACGAAAACGGAGUUUUGGAAGUAAAUGUUACGUCACAUACAUAUGACGUAACAAAGGAUUUUAAACACGAGGUUUGUCUUGGAUUGUUACGUCACAAAGAAACACCGAUGCUGCAGCGAUCGUGGGAAUUUCAAUCAUGUAGUAAUCUGCAUUAUGACACGACGCUGAAAAACUAUGACGUCAUAAAGCUACAAAUUAACCAAACAAAGGCAUUCACCUACGUCAUCGUUAAGCGCGCUGCAUCAUCGGGUUAUGACGUAAUAGGUUGGGUGCAGCUUCCGUUAAUCCUCCCAGGUGAUGACGUUACCCAUGACAUCAUCAUCAAAGGUAGAGAAGAAGGAAAAUCGAAGCAGAAUUUAAUUUUAAUUAAAAAUGUUGAAGCGUGGAAGUUUCAGUUGAAACUCACCUGCCAUUCAAAUCGUCAUGGUCCGCUGUGUAAGGUCACGUGCCACCCACCUACGUCACAUCACGUGUGUGAUGACGUCACAGGUGAACUUCGCUGCGCCCCUCCGUGGUCGGGAAAGUUCUGCACAAAUAAUGUGUUCAUGGAUAAAGCGACCGCGUCAAGUUUCGUGAAAUCGCGACCAAAACGCGCGAACAGCUGGUUAAGGUUCGAGGAGUUCCAACCUGGGAAUAUAGAGCGUGAAUGCGAAGAAGAGAGGUGCUCGCGGGAAGAAGCGAGAGAAGCAUUUGAAGAUGAUGCGCUAACAACGGAAUAUUGGACGCGAUAUACAGAUCCAAACCAAUGUUUACCCAACCCAUGCCGAACCAACCACACCAGUCGUUGUGAGGAUUUACUCGCAGAUUAUCGAUGCCACUGUUUCAAUGGUUACUUUGGAAAGAAUUGUCAACAAGAAAUGGAUCCUUGUUCGAGUUCGCCUUGUCAUAAUGAAGCAUUGUGUUCGAAACAUACACCUACGUCAUACUCGUGUGUUUGUUCUCCUGGAUACCGCGGACACCAUUGUGACGUCAACAUCGAUGAUUGCGUGAUAGCGGAUUGUGGCGAUCAUGGAGAAUGCGUCGAUGGAAUCAACAAUUACACUUGUGUUUGUGACGUAGGCUUCACAGGAUCGCGGUGCGAAGCCGACAUCAACGAAUGUGAGAAUAAUCCUUGCGAAAAUGGCGGGAACUGCAGUGAUCACGUGGGUUUCUACACCUGCGCAUGCGCACUUGAGUACGAAGGAACUAACUGCGAUUCUAGAAUCAACCCUUGUGUGACGUCACCAUGCUUUAAUAAUGGUGUUUGUGCAAUGAACCGUGACUAUUCGUUCAACUGUUCAUGUCCGUCACGCUUCACUGGUGUCACGUGCGAGUAUGACGUCACCAACCCGUGUGCGUCACAGCCGUGUAACAAUGAUGGCGUGUGUUACGUCACAAAUAGCACCGUCAGUGACGUCUUAUCUGUUGGUAACCAUGGCAACUCAUCCCAGGACUUCCAUUGUUUGUGUAACAUUGGUUUUGGCGGGAAAAGCUGCGAUCGGGAAAUCCCCGCGUGUGAAUAUUCUCCUUGUCCAACCAACGCGACCUGCGUUGGAUUACGUCAUCAAUAUAUUUGCGUUUGUCCACCCGGAUACAGAGGCGAUAAUUGUGACGCACUCGGUAACGAUAGUGACGUCACAGAGCAGGUACAAUGCGAGUUGAAUCCAUGUUUGAACGAAGCGCGAUGCAUCUUCUAUGAAAACACAACCACGUGUUUGUGCAGAGAAGGGUACAAUGGCACGCACUGUGACGUCAUGAUCGAUUAUUGCGUCAGCUCACCUUGUAUUAACGGUGGCGAGUGUAUUCCUUCACCUGGAGGUUUCUAUUGUAAUUGUAGACAGGGAUUUCACGGAGGUUUCUGCGAGAACGACAUCGAUGAGUGCGCGUUCGGUUUGUGUCGUCAUAAUGCCACUUGUAACAACACAAUGGGUUCUUUCGAAUGCAUCUGUGGUCCAUAUCAUGUCGGAAGGUUUUGUGAGAUCGAUUACGACGCGUGUACGUCAUCGCCGUGUCAUAAUGGGGGAGUGUGCGUUCAUAGAGGAACCAUUGUUGAAUGCAAGUGUUUAUCAGGUUAUGGAAAUGCGUAUUGUGAUGACGUCAUCAACCCGUGCGAUGACAUCACAAAUCCAUGUUUGAAUGACGGAAUAUGUUCACGCAUGGUUGACGACCCCACUCAAGCUAAUUGUACAUGCAUUAACGGUUACUAUGGUCACGUGUGCGAUAAAGUGUGGGAUUAUUGCACCGUUCGAAGCAACGAAUUAAGGUAUGAUGAAGUCACAAAGAGCUUUGUUCCAACCGUUGUCGCGCGAACGGAUUGCGGUUUCCAUGGCGACUGUGUUUCGGAAAACUUCGGAUUCCGAUGCCAAUGUCACUUCGGGUUUGAGGGUGAUCUCUGCGAACAAGAAAUCUCGAUUCCAAGAAUCAAUUGUUCGUCAGAAUAUUGUUUAUGCGCGAACAAUAGAAGCACAAAUCAAUCGAUUGAGUGUCACUAUGGGCAUUAUGACGUAGGUACAUGUCGCGAGACCACGUGUCUAAGUCAGUCAUGUCGUAACGAUGACGUCAUGUUCUGCGAUUGGUCGUCGAGCUGCAUUACGUCAUACACGAGAACACAAGAUGUUUCAAUCGACCCCAAUUGCGUCAUAAUGACGAUGACAAUGAACAAAACAAUGAUUCAGCAGAAUACAACGACAGCAUUGUUAUGUCACAAACUGCGGUCGUUACCAAAUGAUGAAAGAACAAACGUCACGGUUCACUGCGCAUUGCUAUCGGCUGAUGACGUCACCGCCAUUGUCGUCACAUCCUGGCUUAGUAUGACGUCAUCGGUUGAUAGUUACUUGGUGGGCGCGGCAGUUUAUCAACAAUUGGAACAAAAACUUGGGCGAAAAGUCAUCAAAGAUCGCGAUUAUUUGGCGGAAGGUAUUGAACCCCUCUAUGACGCAAUAAUUAGCCUUGAGUUCCAAUCCCACCGUGGUCAGGUGCUUAAACUUCGCGAUGACGGAGUUAAACCUACGUCACCAAGUCAUACGUCACACGGGGAUUCCCUUUGGUACAUCCCUGUUAUACUGGGGGUUUCCCUCAUUCUCUUUGUCACGUGCUUCGUAUACACCCGACGACGUCAUAAUAAGAAGCGAUCCUACUCGACGGAUGAUGACGUCACUCGUAAUGACAUCAUUGCAACUGUAGACAACGUGUCUAUGGAUAGAGUGAUAGUUUCCCCUACACGAGUAAAGUGGUUCAGACUACCGCUAGGUGGGAGCAACAAGCGCGAUGAAUUCGUUAACCCAUUGUUUGUCGAUAAUCAAAUGUGUAACGGUCUUCCAUCGCAUUCGGAUGACAAUAGGAACGCCUACGUUACAACGCCACAACAAUCACCAAUAUUACGUCAUAAAGUCGAACAAUCAACAAUCGAUUAUGACGUCACAAAAACUGAAAUGACGUCAUAUGGCGAUGAAGUAACGUAUGAAACAAUCAACAUAUCACCGGGGGAAUCCCCGAAAUACCAACAACAUUGUAGCGCCACCGAGCGAGAUCAUGGAACCCACCCUACCCGACGCUAGGUGGCAGUCUACACCCAACGCAACACCGAGAUCAUAUUUUGACCCAGAGGUGUAUCACGUGCCAGGAAAAGCACGACCCGUCGAUUAAACCGAUUGUUACGUCAUAAUCACAUAUAUGAGUUACUGUGUUAUUUAUUACGUCAUAACAACUAUAAGUUAAAAUGUCGAUUGUUACGUCAUAAUACCUCUUUAUCAUACAAGUGUGACGUCAUAUUGUAAUAUUUUUACAUAAAAUGUACAAAGAUCACGUGAUGUUCAUGAAUGAAUGAAGAACAACCCGAA